rnacentral:rRNA from 1 species
GAUGAACGCUGGCGGCGUGCCUAAUACAUGCAAGUCGAGCGAACGGACGAGAAGCUUGCUUCUCUGGUGUUAGCGGCGGACGGGUGAGUAACACGUGGAUAACCUACCUAUAAGACUGGGAUAACUUCGGGAAACCGGCGCUAAUACCGGAUAAUAUUUUGAACCGCAUGGUUCAAAAGUGAAAGACGGUCUUGCUGUCACUUAUAGAUGGAUCCGCGCUGCAUUAGCUAGUUGGUAAGGUAACGGCUUACCAAGGCAACGAUGCAUAGCCGACCUGAGAGGGUGAUCGGCCACACUGGAACUGAGACACGGUCCAGACGCCUACGGGAGGCAGCAGUAGGGAAUCUUCCGCAAUGGGCGAAAGCCUGACGGAGCAACGCCGCGUGAGUGAUGAAGGUCUUCGGAUCGUAAAACUCUGUUAUUAGUGAAGAACAUAUGUGUAAGUAACUGUGCACAUCUUGACGGUACCUAAUCAGAAAGCCACGGCUAACUACGUG